CUUUUCCUGUGGCAGCAGCCGGGCUGAGAGGAGCGUGGCUGUCUCCUCUCUCCGCCAUGGCGUGUGCUCGCCCACUGAUAUCUGUGUACUCCGAAAAGGGGGAGUCAUCUGGCAAAAAUGUCACUUUGCCUGCUGUAUUCAAGGCUCCUAUUCGACCAGAUAUUGUGAACUUUGUUCACACCAACUUGCGCAAAAACAACAGACAGCCCUACGCUGUCAGUGAAUUAGCAGGUCAUCAGACUAGUGCUGAGUCUUGGGGUACUGGCAGAGCUGUGGCUCGAAUUCCCAGAGUUCGAGGUGGUGGGACUCACCGCUCUGGCCAGGGUGCUUUUGGAAACAUGUGUCGUGGAGGCCGAAUGUUUGCACCAACCAAAACCUGGCGCCGUUGGCAUCGUAGAGUGAACACAACCCAAAAACGAUAUGCCAUCUGUUCUGCCCUGGCUGCCUCAGCCCUACCAGCACUGGUCAUGUCUAAAGGUUUGUAAUACUUUAUAUAAGAGAGUUUGAUAGAAGAAAUAAGACACAUACUAUUUGAUCAUUAGGGUGAUUUUUAUUCACAGUAACCCGUUUCAAGAUGGCUAGAAGAGAAUAAUUUGAAUGUUUUUAGCAUAAAAUAUUUUAGUUCAUGGAUAUUCCAGUUACACUGAUUUGAUCUUGACAAAUGACUGCAUUCAGUUAUCAAAUGUACUCCAGAAAUACAUGUUACAUAUCGGUUUAAAAAUGUUUUAAUCAAAAAUAUUUCAUAUCAGUGAUACAAAAUGCCCCACUUUUCUUUCACGUGUACCUUUGUUAAAAUUGCACAUUGUUUUCAUUCUGAA
rnacentral:sRNA from 1 species